AAUUCCCUUUUCUUCUCUUACACGUCGGUUCCAAGGGACAAGAAAGCAAUUUCCCUUCUUCCUCUUGCACCCACCGAUAGCUAGAACAAGGAAAGGAAGAAAAUACUUCCAGCCCUCACCGUGCAACAAACCUUUCUCUCCCAUUCCAUUUCUAUCUCAAUCUCAAGCCAAGCUUCCAAGUUUCUUCCUUCUCAAGAGGGAAAUAGUAAGCCAAAGGUUUCGUAUAUCCUCUGUUUUCCUAAGCCGAAUCUAUCUCCAUUCUCCUCAUUUUCAUGUUUCGGAAGGUUUUCACCAAAGGAGUUUAUUUUCAAGAUUCAAGGAACUUACUUGUAAAGCCACGAGGUAAUGAUGAAAAGGCUGGGGAGCAAGGUAUUACUGCAGAGGGAGAGGCAGACGUUUAGGACCUUCCCUAACGAGGAUAGUUAUGUUACGAAUGAUGGGUUAUGUUAUGUAUAGAUAUUUUAAGUUGGGAUGGACUCUGAGAGUCUCUUAUAGAUGAAUGUUCGAAUAGAACGUCCAUUAAGUGUUCCCUUUUAUUAAACGAAAAAUUUGGAGUGCA